UAACACGUAUCAGGAAGCUAGACGGCUGCAGGGAAACAGGGCUGUGCAGUCAGAAGUCAGCGAGGAUUUUCCAAAGCACGGAAGAAGGAGCGUGUUUUUACCGCCGUGGUUACUGGAGUGACUACAGAGUGGGCGCGUUGGCGGUGGAAACCGAAGCACUGGUGUGAAGCAAGCUCUGGCCCCAGUUUAGCACCCUGCAAUCAUGUACCACCACACUGGGCGGUGGGUUGGUGGUCUCCAUUGUUCAGUCUCAGAAGGCGGAAACAGAGCAACCGCUGCAACAUCAGACGCGGAGCUCAUGCACACAGACACACACCGACAGGAGUGCUGAAGCUGCAGCGCGACUGUACGUGGACCUCCUGCAACAUCAGAGAACCCGCACAUAUUCCCUCUGACUGCACCGCUAAAGCCUGACAUGAGGAGCGAGCAGCUAUGAGAUGUACACAGACGUCUCUGUCUCCUUGCAUAAGAAGCAGCUGUCUGCCUGCUAGCGCCGCCUGGUCAAGAGCAACUUUUUUGAAAGUCAGAGACACAGUCAUGCAAAUCAGGACAUGGUUGAGGACCUCAGCCUGAAGUAUCAGACGUAAAAUAGAGACACAGAGCUGGAAGACAACCAACGAACAAAUAAUAGUUAACCUAUAGUACACAAGGACGUCUACACAUUGUCUGUAUAGUGCCUUGAAGUAUUUUCACCCUUUGCUUUGUCAGAGCCACAGACUUCAUUGUACUCCAGUGGAAUUUAUGUGAUAGACAAACACCAAGACAUACAUUUGUAGAGCGUCAACAAACAUAUAUUUUUGAGACCUGCCACAUAUUUUAAAUUGGAUUUCAGUUUGGACUUUAACUAGGCCAUAUUGUAACAUUGACUAUGUACAGCUAGAUCUACUCCAGACUUUACAGUUGGAGCUGUUGUCUAUUUGAAAGGACAUCUGUCCUUUUAGCAGAAUGAGGUCUGCAGGUCUUCUGUGCUGUAUUUGGCUUAAUCCACUUCCUCUUCAUGCCUGAGCUGCUUCCUUGUAUCUGCUGAAGUAAAGCAGCAGCAUGAUGAUGCCACUACCAUUUUCAUCGAGGAGAUAGUAUGUUCAGGGUGAUGUGCCUUGGUUUUCUCUACACAUAGUGCCUGCAUUUCAUCCAAAAAGUUUUAUUUUGGUCUUAUCUGGCUGCAGCACCUUAUUCCACAUUUUUUUGUCCUGUCCUCUACAUGCCUUGCAAACUUUACACGUAAUUCACGUAAUCUUCUUUUAGCAAUGUCUGUCUUCCUGCCACUUUUCCAUCUAUCUCAGACUUUUCCAUAUCAUGACUAAUAGUUCAAUAGAAAUAGAAGUAAAAUAGAAAUCGUAUUGAUCGAUAUUGAUAAUUACCAAAAAAUUUAAAGCAGAUUGAGAGGUUUGUGGACUGGUGCCAGCAGAACCAUUAAUUGCAGGUUGUUAAUUACAGGUAGCUGGUGGUGGACUUUCACAGGUCCUGAUGAUCUUCUUUGACUCUCUGAUGACAUCAGCCAUCUUCUGUGGUGUGUUUCGUGGGAGCAGCAGCUUAUCUGUGGCUGAGAAGAAGCAACUAAAUAAACUCAUGAGGAGGGCCCGCUCUGUCCUGGGAUGGCCCUUGGACCCAGUGCAGCUAGGAGACAGAAGGACUGUAAGAAAAUUAACAUCACUGACGGACAAUGUCUACCACUCCAUGUGUGGAGCUGUUGCAGAGCUGGAGAACUCUUUCAAUGACAGACUGCUACCCGCUAGAUGCUGAAAGGAGCGCUUCCCUAGGUCCCUUCUCCCAGCUGCUGCUGGACUAUUUAAUCUCUGCAGCUCACAACAGACUCAAAAAGUGUUUACAACACGGUUUCUGGAUCUGAGGAAACAUCAUUUACACAGUCUCUCAUAUGCUACUGACUAUUUGGACUCUUUUUUAGCUUCUCGGGAAGUGUUUGUACUUCCAUGAAAAUUGCACAGUUUUUUGCAUCCUACAGUAAUAGUCCGCUGGUUUUCUUUUUUUUAACUUGAACGUUUCAUAUUUACCUGAAUAUACCCAUGAAAUCUAUGGCAUCAAGUAAGCUUUUUUUGCAUGCACUGCUGCAGCAUAAGCCUUAAGCCCACAUUAACCUUUAAUUUAGUAAGAAAAACACCAAAAUGCACAGAUGUAACACUUCAAACUUAAUUGGCUCGAAGAGCACUCCUGAGUAAGUCAGAAAUUGGAAUUUCUGAAAAGGUGAUUAAAUCACUUCACAACAAGCACAAACCGCAACUCCAACCUUCCUAAUUUAUUUUCAUGUAUGCAAAAUUUCAAACGCACAGAUUAACGGUGACUUUAUUUUUCCCAUUAGCAUCUGACUGCUAAGCACUGAAUAUGUCACCAAGCAGUGUCGUGGGUUAAUAAGCAUAUGACACACAGAAGUGUGCGCUCUUCUCUCUCUGUGUAUGUGUGUGCGUUUCUGGAAGUGCGUGUGCAUGUGUUCUGUGGAUUAUCCCAGGCUGCGAUUUGUCAGCAGACUCUGUGCAAGUCAACACUUGAACUUUGUUCCCCUCCGUCGGGAAAAGUCGGAUUUGCCGCCAGCUGCUUCUGACAAAUGGCUGUUAAAUCCCAGCUAGGUGAUUUUUUUUUUGUUGCGUGGCUAAGUGUUACUGUAACUGGUGCAGUUCUUCACCAGGCGAAGGAAUGAAGCCAUGGUUUAAAGGCACUAUAUAAUCUAUAUGGUGCUUUGUAUGCAUGACUGUAGGUAAUCAUUGCAGGUAUUAACAGUGACACCCACUCAGUUAAUAAAAAAAAGUGUUGUAGAUGUGUGCAAUAGAGAUGCAUAAAUUAUUAGGGAUUUUUCAGGUUCUUUCAUUUUUACUGUAUAAUGAGAACUGCAAUAAUAUUGAAUAUUACAGUGCCUUGUAAAAAUAUUCACCCCCUUGGCAUUUUUCAUGUUCUCUUGCCUCACAACCGGCAAUUAAAAUGGAUUAUUUCAGAGUUUGCACCAAUUCAUUAACAGAACUUUAAAUAUCUAUUUUUUUUUAUUGUGAAGAAAACAACAAUUAGGGCAAAAUACCAGGGAACUUUAGAAUGCAUAU